rnacentral:rRNA from 1 species
GAUGAACGCUGGCGGCGUGCUUAACACAUGCAAGUCGAACGGUGAAGGCGGAGCUUGCUCUGCUGGAUCAGUGGCGAACGGGUGAGUAACACGUGAGCAAUCUGCCCCUGACUCUGGGAUAAGCGCUGGAAACGGCGUCUAAUACUGGAUACGAGCUGCGAAGGCAUCUUCAGCAGCUGGAAAGAAUUUCGGUCAGGGAUGAGCUCGCGGCCUAUCAGCUUGUUGGUGAGGUAAUGGCUCACCAAGGCGUCGACGGGUAGCCGGCCUGUGAGGGUGACCGGCCACACUGGGACUGAGACACGGCCCAGACUCCUACGGGAGGCAGCAGUGGGGAAUAUUGCGCAAUGGGCGAAAGCCUGAUGCAGCAGCGCCGCGUGAGGGACGACGGCCUUCGGGUUGUAAACCUCUUUUAGCAGGGAAGAAGCGAAAGUGACGGUACCUGCAGAAAAAGCGCCGGCUAACUACGUG